ensembl:snRNA U6 U6 spliceosomal RNA
GCGCUCCCUUCAGCAGCUCAUACAGUAAAAUUGGACUGAUACAGAGAAGACUGCACAGCCUCUGUGCAAGGAUGACACAAAUUUAUGAAGUGUUCCAAAUUAGA